rnacentral:lncRNA from 1 species
UAGCAACCUCACUUUGGGGGCCAUUGUCCCAAGGAGAGUAGGAAAAUCGAUAAAGAAGAUAGAGAGGGAUGAGGGAUGGAUGGAAAUAAAGAGGAGAAGAGGGUUUAGGGGUGAUUGUCACGAAUUUUGUAAGUUAGGGCUUGAGAUUUGAUGGAGAGAAAGAGGGUACGUCGAGAGAGAGAGAGUUUGCUUUAGGAUUUGAGAUGGAGAUCCAAGAUUUUGAAUAGAUUUGAGGUCGGUGGAG